rnacentral:rRNA from 1 species
UACGUAGGGGGCAAGCGUUAUCCGGAUUUACUGGGUGUAAAGGGAGCGUAGACGGCUUUGCAAGCCAGAUGUGAAAGCCCGGGGCUCAACCCCGGGACUGCAUUUGGAACUGUGUGGCUAGAGUGUCGGAGAGGCAGGCGGAAUUCCUAGUGUAGCGGUGAAAUGCGUAGAUAUUAGGAGGAACACCAGUGGCGAAGGCGGCCUGCUGGACAUUAACUGACGCUGAGGCGCGAAAGCGUGGGGAGCAAACAGG